rnacentral:rRNA from 1 species
CCCGGUAAACGGCGGCCGUAACUAUAACGGUCCUAAGGUAGCGAAAUUCCUUGUCGGGUAAGUUCCGACCUGCACGAAUGGCGUAAUGAUGGCCAGGCUGUCUCCACCCGAGACUCAGUGAAAUUGAACUCGCUGUGAAGAUGCAGUGUACCCGCGGCAAGACGGAAAGACCCCGUGAACCUUUACUAUAGCUUGACACUGAACAUUGAGCCUUGAUGUGUAGGAUAGGUGGGAGGCUUUGAAGCGUGGACGCCAGUCUGCGUGGAGCCAACCUUGAAAUACCACCCUUUAAUGUUUGAUGUUCUAACGUGGACCCGUUACCCGGGUUGCGGACAGUGUCUGGUGGGUAGUUUGACUGGGGCGGUCUCCUCCCAAAGAGUAACGGAGGAGCACGAAGGUUGGCUAAUCCUGGUCGGACAUCAGGAGGUUAGUGCAAUGGCAUAAGCCAGCUUGACUGCGAGCGUGACGGCGCGAGCAGGUGCGAAAGCAGGUCAUAGUGAUCCGGUGGUUCUGAAUGGAAGGGCCAUCGCUCAACGGAUAAAAGGUACUCCGGGGAUAACAGGCUGAUACCGCCCAAGAGUUCAUAUCGACGGCGGUGUUUGGCACCUCGAUGUCGGCUCAUCACAUCCUGGGGCUGAAGUAGGUCCCAAGGGUAUGGCUGUUCGCCAUUUAAAGUGGUACGCGAGCUGGGUUUAGAACGUCGUGAGACAGUUCGGUCCCUAUCUGCCGUGGGCGCUGGAGAACUGAGGGGGGCUGCUCCUAGUACGAGAGGACCGGAGUGGACGCAUCACUGGUGUUCGGGUUGUCAUGCCAAUGGCACUGCCCGGUAGCUAAAUGCGGAAGAGAUAAGUGCUGAAAGCAUCUAAGCACGAAACUUGCCCCGAG